AGCUGCGGAGACAGACUGACGAAGUUCUUGAAAAGAAUUGCUUAAAGAAAUCAUAACACCUUUUAAAAACAUAUCUCCAAAGGCACUCAAGGGAACGCUGCGAGGAGCUUUGCGAGUCGAGGGUGAUGGUUCUCCCCGAGAAUACCUCGGUGCCGGCCGGAGUUCGAUCAACACUCGAUCUCGUCCAGUCUCACUCGCAAGGUCCCGUCUGGGUCGCCAAAACCGUUACUGAAAUCCGGAAUAAAACUCCUUAACGCCAACGUGAAGUUAA